UUGACACGCUCAGAGGCUGAAGCCCUCUAUUUAUACACAGGACAGGUUACACCCCUGGCAGCAGCCAUGCAAGUCUCUCAGUUAGUGGUACAGAUCUGAACUGGAUUUGAAACAAUGAUAUAAAGAUGAAAAACUCCGCUUCUUAUUACCAAAAUGCUAAGUCACU
ensembl:misc_RNA